rnacentral:rRNA from 1 species
UACGGGGGGGGCAAGCGUUGUUCGGAAUUACUGGGCGUAAAGGGCUCGUAGGCGGCCAACUAAGUCAGACGUGAAAUCCCUCGGCUUAACCGGGGAACUGCGUCUGAUACUGGAUGGCUUGAGAUUGGGAGAGGGAUGCGGAAUUCCAGGUGUAGCGGUGAAAUGCGUAGAUAUCUGGAGGAACACCGAUGGCGAAGGCGACAUCCUGGACCUACACUGACGCUGAGGAGCGAAAGCCAGGGGAGCAAACGGG